UCUCUGGUGUCUCAGUUGGUAAAGAAUCUGCCUGCAAUGUGGGAGACCCAGGUUCGAUCCCUGGCUGGAGAA